CAUAAUGCACAGUUAGAUUAGAAACUUGAGAAUUCAGUAAAUCUCCAUUCAGUACUGGGAUGUUAUGGUGUGUACUAGCUUAUUUGUCUGUGAAAUAAUGAUUUUCUUGUUUUCCGUCUCAGAAAGUGCGUUGAAGUUGACAUGUGGGAUCUUGAAAACUGUACUAAAAUCUAGACUUCCAAACUUCCUCCUAAGACUAGUCUUGAUCUCUUUACCCCAACUUGGUUUACGUCAUCAACAUUCCUGAGUAAGGAUGAUCACCGCAAAAUUGUGGCUGGCACCAACAGUCAUCAGGUUUGCCUCUAUGGUAUUUCUACUCAGUGAAGACCUGUUUGCUCAUUUGAUUUCUGGGAGACCCCUAUCAAAGCAGUAGCUGAAGAUUUUAAUGGCUACACAGUUUAUGUAGGGAAUGGGUGUGGUGACCUUGCUUCUGUUGACAUGCGCACAGGGAAAUUGUUGGGGUGCUUUUUGGGCAAAUGUUCUGGAAGCAUCAGAUCUAUAGCCUGGCACCAGGAGCUUCCAGUGAUAGCAUCAUGUGGUAUGUUGACGUGUUGUAUUGUUUUCUCUUGUGUUAAUUUGCAUUGGAACUCAUAUGGACACAAAUACUUGCACAACCCAUUUGCACACACACACCCAGAGAGAGAGACCUGUCAUCUGUGUUUCCUAAUGUGUGUGCAUACCCUCUCUUUCCUUUGCUUUUUAGGUAACAGUAAUGCAUGUUCACCCUCUUUUAGGUGGUCAAACUCAAAAUAUUGGCUUCCUUUACAAGACGGUCACUAUGUGCUUACGAGUUAAAAAUAGGGAAGUUUACUUAGGAUGGUCUUGCAAUCUGGAGAAGUGAGAAAGAAGAGGAAAUGUUCAUCUUAGUUUAUGCUCAAUCACUUGCUAUAUUAAUUACUAAGCAAUAAUAACCUUUUAUUAUCGUAUAUAUUUUUUGUUGGUCAUUUCUUGUAUGAAUAUUUUAAUUAAAAAAAGCCUGUGUACAGUUAGCACUUAAUUGUGCGUGGGAUCAAUUAAUAUUUAUCAAAUCAUCCCUCAGCAUUUUGAAGUUAAGUUGGUUGCCUUAGAACCUAAUUUUCUUGACUAUCAAAUUUGAGAACUUGACUAAUUUCUAGGACUGGACAAAUCUACAGUUUUAGGAUAUAAAGACACGGCAAUUUCUGUCUGUGGUAUGUUCUUAUACUUUAUGAUUACAAAGAUUUAUUGAAAUUUCUUGCUGAAAGACAAGGCUGAAUAUUUGCCAGUUAUAAACUCUUACAUGCAUUUAUUUCCCUUACCAGAUUUACAAUUUUUAAUUUGUUAUCACCCCUUGUUUUGGUGUCUCUGCAUUGCCUUACCUAACCGUCAAAACUCUUCAUUCAAACUUGAGGUCAAGAACAAAUUUUGGAUCCAAUAGAGAUGAGUGGCAGAACUGUUCUGCAUUCAAAGUUAAAAAAUUGAUGUUUUAACCAUGUAAUCUUUUUUAUUAUUUUUUUAAAGGAAUCAGUGAAGCCAUUGCUGAGGGUUUAGAUAUUUACUUGGAGCUAUUAUGUUAAUGGAAAAUAUGGUUUUUUUCAGCUUUCAUUGACACACUCAAUUUAUUGCAGCUAACAUUCAUUUAAUUCAUUUAAUAAUAUAUAAAGUGAGAUGCGCUAUCAGCACUAUAAUUUGACUUAUCUCAAAGGGACAUUAGUAAUGUGCGUAUGAUGGAUCCAAAGCAAGAUGGUCGAUCAACAUGAUGGCAUGAUAUUGAAAAUGUUUAGCAAGAAAGUUAAAAGGUGAAUGUAUAAAAUUGAGGGGGAAAAUGGGCAUUUGCUCCUAAUUUACAAAUUAUGUAGCACAAUGUUCAUGUUUUGAAACUAUUUAACAAAAUGCCCAUGUGGAAUCUGACAUUUCUAAUGUCGAGUUCCCCUAAAAUUGAGUGCAUUACUCUUGUGUGCAGUGCACAUGGAUACUUUGCUGGAAAGGUCUGCUUAGGGCAUGGUGCACUUUGGAUUUUUGGCUCGAAAGGGCUGCUGUUCAAUGGAAGGUUAAGGGCCUGUUUGGUAGAGAAGUUUGAGUAAUGUUGUUUGUAGUUUUUUGAAAUACAUGUGGGUGAAAAUGUGUGCAAUGUUGUUUAAAAACUGAAAAUGAAUUGUUUAACAACUUUAUCAAACAAGGCCUAAGUGUUCUUAAGCAUGCACUGGCUAUUGAUCCACGGUCUAAUGA